rnacentral:rRNA from 1 species
AUUGAACGCUGGCGGAAUGCUUUACUCAUGCAAGUCGAACGGCAGCACGGGGGCAGCCCUGGUGGCGAGUGGCGAACGGGUGAGUAAUACAUCGGAACGUGCCCGGUCGUGGGGGAUAACGUAGCGAAAGUUACGCUAAUACCGCAUACGAUCUGAGGAUGAAAGCGGGGGACCUUCGGGCCUCGCGCGAUCGGAGCGGCCGAUGUCAGAUUAGGUAGUUGGUGGGGUAAAGGCCUACCAAGCCGACGAUCUGUAGCUGGUCUGAGAGGACGACCAGCCACACUGGGACUGAGACACGGCCCAGACUCCUACGGGAGGCAGCAGUGGGGAAUUUUGGACAAUGGGCGCAAGCCUGAUCCAGCCAUUCCGCGUGCAGGACGAAGGCCUUCGGGUUGUAAACUGCUUUUGUACGGAACGAAAAGGCUCUGGCUAAUACCUGGGGCUCAUGACGGUACCGUAAGAAUAAGCACCGGCUAACUACGUG